rnacentral:rRNA from 1 species
UACGGAGGGGGUUUGCGUUGUUCGGAAUUACUGGGCGUAAAGCGCACGUAGGCGGAUUAGUCAGUAUGGGGUGAAAUCCCGAGGCUCAACCUCGGAACUGCCCUGUAAACUGCUAGUCUUGAGUUCGAGAGAGGUGAGUGGAAUUCCGAGUGUAGAGGUGAAAUUCGUAGAUAUUCGGAGGAACACCAGUGGCGAAGGCGGCUCACUGGCUCGAUACUGACGCUGAGGUGCGAAAGUGUGGGGAGCAAACAGG